rnacentral:rRNA from 1 species
GGGUUGUGAGGUUAAGCGACUAAGCGUACACGGUGGAUGCCCAGGCAGUCAGAGGCGAUGAAGGACGUGCUAAUCUGCGUAAAGCGACGGUAAGGUGAUAUGAACCGCUACAGCCGUCGAUGUCCGAAUGGGGAAACCCGGUGCACUCUGUGCAUCAUUGCAGCAUGAAUACAUAGUGCUGCAAGGCGAACCGGGGGAACUGAAACAUCUAAGUACCCCGAGGAAAAGAAAUCAACCGAGAUUCCCCCAGUAGCGGCGAGCGAACGGGGAGCAGCCCAGAGCCUGAAUCAGUUUGUGUGUUAGUGGAAGCGUCUGGAAAGUCGCAGGGUACAGGGUGAUACUCCCGUACACAAAAACACACAUGCUGUGAGCUCGAUGAGUAAGGCGGGACACGUGGUAUCCUGUCUGAAUAUGGGGGGACCAUCCUCCAAGGCUAAAUACUCCUGACUGACCGAUAGUGAACCAGUACCGUGAGGGAAAGGCGAAAAGAACCCCGGCGAGGGGAGUGAAACAGAACCUGAAACCGUGUACGUACAAGCAGUGGGAGCCUUCUUUAUGGGGGUGACUGCGUACCUUUUGUAUAAUGGGUCAGCGACUUAUAUUCUGUAGCAAGGUUAACCGUAUAGGGGAGCCGCAGGGAAACCGAGUCUUAACUGGGCGUUAAGUUGCAGGGUAUAGACCCGAAACCCGGUGAUCUAGCCAUGGGCAGGUUGAAGGUUGGGUAACACUAACUGGAGGACCGAACCGACUAAUGUUGAAAAAUUAGCGGAUGACCUGUGGCUGGGGGUGAAAGGCCAAUCAAACCGGGAGAUAGCUGGUUCUCCCCGAAAGCUAUUUAGGUAGCGCCUCGUGAACUCAUCUUCGGGGGUAGAGCACUGUUUCGGCUAGGGGGCCAUCCCGGCUUACCAACCCGAUGCAAACUGCGAAUACCGAAGAAUGUUAUCACGGGAGACACACGGCGGGUGCUAACGUCCGUCGUGAAGAGGGAAACAACCCAGACCGCCAGCUAAGGUCCCAAAGUCAUGGUUAAGUGGGAAACGAUGUGGGAAGGCACAGACAGCCAGGAUGUUGGCUUAGAAGCAGCCAUCAUUUAAAGAAAGCGUAAUAGCUCACUGGUCGAGUCGGCCUGCGCGGAAGAUGUAACGGGGCUAAACCAUGCACCGAAGCUGCGGCAGCGACGCUUAGGCGUUGUUGGGUAGGGGAGCGUUCUGUAAGCCGUCGAAGGUGUGCUGUGAGGCAUGCUGGAGGUAUCAGAAGUGCGAAUGCUGACAUAAGUAACGAUAAAGCGGGUGAAAAGCCCGCUCGCCGGAAGACCAAGGGUUCCUGUUCAACGUUAAUCGGAGCAGGGUGAGUCGACCCCUAAGGCGAGGCCGAAAGGCGUAGUCGAUGGGAAACAGGUUAAUAUUCCUGUACUCGGUGUUACUGCGAAGGGGGGACGGAGAAGGCUAUAUCAGCCGGGCGACGGUUGUCCCGGUUUAAGCGUGUAGGCGGAG